CUUAUCAAAGCUUUGACGCAGUUUUCUGGUGCAGCCACCUUCCAGAGCUUUUGGUGCACUUCUGAGGCUCCCCUCCACCUCUCCUGUUUCCAGCAACUUGCCUAUCUGCCCGAUUCUUGAACAACCUGACCCAAUGCAGGCAAAUGCAGAGGAUGUCCCAUAACUGUCCCACUUCCUGGGAACGCUUCUUUGUGGCCAGCCAGGGCUCAGUGCAGAGAGACAGAGAAGACCCAGGUGUCCCCUGGCCCAAUGCUUCCGGGAGGCGUCUCGGCCUUCCCACCUCUGAGAACAUUCAGGCCUUUGAGAUGUGGCCCCUGCCUGCCCCAGUCCCCCCGGCCUGACAAUGGGGACUUCAGAGGAGACUGGAUGGCAGGACACAGCCACUUCUGUGAAGCAGAGUCGACCGCCAAACUGGAGGUCUUUGUGGAUUUAUCGGGGAGAAGCAUGGCUGAGUAAAGGAAUUCUGGCACCAUGUGACAACCAUCUUCUUCAUCAAGAUUGGUGUCCUGGGAUGUGGCUAUGCCUGACCUUCCGGCAGAAUGAGGAGAAAAGUCUGAACCAGGCAGUUCAGCUUCCCCCAGUAGCACUCCUCUCAGGCCAUGGAGAAUAAUAAUAGCU
rnacentral:lncRNA from 1 species